rnacentral:rRNA from 1 species
AAUGAACGCUGGUGGCAGGCUUAACACAUGCAAGUCGAGCGAGAACGGCACUUCGGUGCUUAUUAGAGCGGCAAACGGGUGAGUAACACGUGGGAAUAUACCUUUCAGCCUGGGAUAGCCAUUGGAAACGAUGAUUAAUACCGGAUACGCUCUACGGAGGAAAGAUUUAUCACUGAAAGAUUAGCCCGCGUUAGAUUAGCUUGUUGGUGAGGUAAUGGCUCACCAAGGCUACGAUCUAUAGCUGGUCUGAGAGGAUGAUCAGCCACACUGGGACUGAGAUACGGCCCAG